rnacentral:rRNA from 1 species
GGCCUAACACAUGCAAGUCGAGCGGCAGCGGGGGGAAGCUUGCUUCCCCGCCCGCGAGCGGCGGACGGGUGAGUAAUGUCUGGGGAUCUGCCCGAUGGAGGGGGAUAACCACUGGAAACGGUGGCUAAUACCGCAUAACCUCUGUGGAGUAAAGUGGGGGACCUUCGGGCCUCACGCCAUCGGAUGAACCCAGAUGGGAUUAGCUAGUAGGUGGGGUAAUGGCUCACCUAGGCGAGCAUCCCUAGCUGGUCUGAGAGGAUGACCAGCCACACUGGGACUGAGACACGGCCCAGACUCCUACGGGAGGCAGCAGUGGGGAAUAUUGCACAAUGGGCGCAAGCCUGAUGCAGCCAUGCCGCGUGUAUGAAGAAGGCCUUCGGGUUGUAAAGUACUUUCAGCGGGGAGGAAGGCAACAGCGUAAAUAGCGCUGUUGAUUGACGUUACCCGCAGAAGAAGCACCGGCUAAG